UACAGAGGUCUCAAGUGUUGUUCGGAUUCAUUGGGCGUAAAGGGUGCGUAGGUGGCGCGCUAAGUCAGGUGUGAAAUUUCGGAGCUUAACUCCGAAACUGCAUUUGAUACUGGCGUGCUUGAGGACUGGAGAGGAGACUGGAAUUCAUGGUGUAGCAGUGAAAUGCGUAGAGAUCAUGAGGAAGACCAGUGGCGAAGGCGGGUCUCUGGACAGUUCCUGACACUGAGGCGCGAAGGCCAGGGGAGCAAACGGG
rnacentral:rRNA from 1 species